rnacentral:rRNA from 1 species
AUUGAACGCUGGCGGCAGGCCUAACACAUGCAAGUCGAGCGAGCGGCGGACGGGUGAGUAAUGUAUGGGGACUGCCCGAUAGAGGGGGAUAACUACUGGAAACGGUAGCUAAUACCGCAUACUAUCGGAUAACCCAUAUGGGAUUAGCUAGUAGGUGAGGUAAUGGCUCACCUAGGCGACGAUCCCUAGCUGGUCUGAGAGGAUGAUCAGCCCUACGGGGACUGAGACACGGCCCAGACUCAUACGGAGGCAGCAGUGGGGAAUAUUGCAAAAUGGUGGAAAGCCUGUUACAGCCAUGCCGCGUGUAUGAAGAAGGCCUUAGGGUGGUAACGUACUUUCAGUGGGGAUGCGUUACCGACAGAAGAAGCACCGGCUAACUCCGUGCCAGCAGCCGCGUUAAUUC